CCAACCCUAUCCCAUAAUACAAAAAAAAAAAAUCCCAACCCUAUCCCAUAAUACAAAAAAAAAAAAAAAAUCCCAACCCUAUCCCUGUCUCCUUCUAUUCCUUCUCCCCCCUCCCUCUCUCUCCUCUCUCCUCCUCUCUUCCUUGUUCUCGUCCCCCGGAGCCUCCUCCAGCGCCACUGACUGGGCGCUGGAGUUGCAGGAUAUCGGAGGAUGAGAACAAACUCUUCCUUCGGAGGCGGACUCUUCUUCCCAUCCAAGUUUUUCUGUUGAGGGACCUCCUGACAAACGUACAGGCUCAGUCUAGUCUAUCAUGCAGGAGGUCCCUUCCUAGCAUUUUUUACUAAUCAUUGUGUGAGUUUCUCUCCCCAGAAGUCUCCUGCCAGCCAACCUUCAGGGAAGAAGGUUCGCAAACCUUCCGUUUCAUUAAAUUUACCCCGUUUUAUUUGAAACAUUUUCGCUCCGUGUGAUUUUCUGGAUGUGAUCUGGUCAGAUUUUAUUUGAAUGAAUCUCUUGUGAUUAUAUCUGAUCAGAUCCAUUCCAACUUUAUUUGGAUGAAUUUUCUUCCAUUGUAUUUUGUGUGAUUCUUUGAGCUCGGUUCUUGUCGGUGGGACUCUGGUCAGGGUGCCUGUCAGAGGUGUGGGCGGAUCUGGGGGGGGAUUGUGGGAAACCUCCUGUGGUCCCCCUCCUUACAGUGAAGCUCCGCUCUGUCAGAAGGUGGACAGGAUGCAGACGGCAUGUCACAGAGAAGCGACAUGUGUGUGUCUGUAUCCCACCCUGGACCCACAGUGGAGUCCACAGUGACAAGAUCACAGUUCAGGAGAGUCACAGCGGGAUUAAAAGGGGUGGUUAAAUGUGUUAUUUAAGAUAGUAAAUGUAGUGUGAGGGUGAAGCUCUCGCUGCCAGAGGGAAGUUUCCAGAAGAACAGGCACGUAAGGAUCCCUGUGAAUGCUGCUGCAUGAAAAGACCGAUGAUCCCGGGACCCAAGACCAAGACAAGGACGACCCCAAAAGACGACUUGAAGAUGAGUGACCGAGCCCCAACAGAGAUGAAGCCAGAGACGACGACCAGCCGGUUUGUCUGGAUCUGGAGCUCCAUGUUUCUGAUCUGCUGUUAUCGGCCUCGGCAACCUCCAAACUAUUCAUGUUAGCUCCUUCCACUCUCCCCUCAACCCAACCAGAGGUUGUUUUUUUUUAACUUCCCAGAUGGAAGUUUUUUUUCCUCACCCCAAAUGGAGUUUUUUUUAAAACUUCCCAACAACAGGAAGUUUUUUUUCCUUCACACUGGUACCACGUGCUUGAUCUGAUCUCACUGCAAAAAGAGAGAUCUUCAAAUAAUAAACAAAACAACACAAUAGAACUGUAUGUUUGUUUAAAAAUGUAACGUGAUGCACUCUUCCUUUUAGACUUAUUAUUGGAGAGCAUGUUUUAUGGCUAGCAAACUUCAUUCAUCACAAAAACAUGGUUUCAAACCACUGGUUUCUCACAAACACCUGGACUCCAUCUUAAAACUGCACAGCAUUUGAAGAUACUGAUGGUUGUGUGAUUACUUGGAGUAAAUGCACGAGACAGUAAAUUUGCUAAAUACACAAAUGCUGCAUGAUUAGUAUUAACAGAAUGUACUAAUUUGCACUAAAAACAAAAAACUAUACUACAAAUUGUGCAGGGUUUCUAUUAUAGUAUUUUGGAUAUGUCCCACAAUGUAUUAUUAUUAUUAUUAUUAUUAUUAUUAUCAUGUGCUGUAAGACUUUAUACCAUCAGCAUCAUUGGCUGAUGUUAACAUAAACCAGACUGAUAUCAUAUCAAACCAUAAAAUUUGCACAGCAUUCUUGCACAGUGGCAUUUUUGCACUUCUGAAUGUAUUUUCAAGUAUUUAUUCCUGUUUAUUUUUCAUCCUUGUACAUAUUUUAAUUAUUGUAAUUAUUAUGUUUAUUUCCUGGUAUAAAUAUCCUUGCUGCUGUAACAAUGUGAAUUUCCCCUGGCAUGGGGAGCAAUAAAAGAUUAUCUUAUCUUAGCUUACCUUAGCUUAGCUUAGCUUAGCUUAGCUUAGCUUAUCUGUUCCGCUUGUCCUAACUUCAGUAUGACCCUGAGCUGAAGGUUCUCCUUCAAACACUAACUCUGCAGUCUCCAUUAUCACAUCAAUCAACAUUUCUUUCAGUCCCAUGCUCAUGAAGAGAUUGAUUACAAAAUUGAAAUGCAUCAUAAUACAUUUUUUGAGACUGCAGAUGAUUUAUGUCUGAGACAAUAACAUUUCUUGCCGUUUUUCCGGCCUCAAAUGGAUAUGAGACAUUUUUUAAUUUUAUGCGCCUUGUAAUGCACCCCUCUCAGAGGGGGAACGCUUAGAUCUUUAGAAAGACUGGGAAAGCUGAGAUGCAAAGUUCUUUUAAAUUGGUCUUUUUGAGGCUGACAAGCUCGCUGCUGAUUUUUAAUUUAUCUGCCGCCCGUCUUUGUUUCUAAAAGUGUUUCCGGUUGAUGAGUUCGGUCU